CUUCCGGUUGAUCCUGCCGGACCCGACUGCUAUCAGAGUGGGACUAAGCCAUGCGAGUCAACGUAGCAAUACGUGGCAUACGGCUCAGUAACACGUAGUCAACAUGCCCAGGGGACGAGGAUAACCUCGGGAAACUGAGGAUAAACCUCGAUAGGCCAUGAUUUCUGGAAUGAUUCUUGGCUCAAACCUAUAUGGCCCCUGGAUUGGACUGCGGCCGAUCAGGCUGUUGGUGAGGUAAUGGCCCACCAAACCUAUUACCGGUACGGGCUCUGAGAGGAGGAGCCCGGAGAUGGGCACUGAGACAAGGGCCCAGGCCCUAUGGGGCGCAGCAGGCGCGAAACCUCUGCAAUAGGCGAAAGCUUGACAGGGUUACUCUGAGUGAUUUCCGCUAAGGGAAUCUUUUGGCACCUCUAAAAAUGGUGCAGAAUAAGGGGUGGGCAAGUCUGGUGUCAGCCGCCGCGGUAAUACCAGCACCCCGAGUGGUCGGGACGAUUAUUGGGCCUAAAGCAUCCGUAGCCGGUCCUGCAAGUCUUCCGUUAAAUCCAGCUGCUCAACAGAUGGGCUGCGGGAGAUACUACAGGGCUAGGAGGCGGGAGAGGCAAGCGGUACUUUAUGGGUAGGGGUAAAAUCCGCUGAUCCAUAGAAGACCACCAGUGGCGAAGGCGGCUUGCCAGAACGCGCUCGACGGUGAGGGAUGAAAGCUGGGGGAGCAAACCGGAUUAGAUACCCGGGUAGUCCCAGCUGUAAACGAUGCAGACUCGGUGAUGGGUUGGCCUCGCGCCUGCCCAGUGCCGCAGGGAAGCCGUUAAGUCUGCCGCCUGGGGAGUACGGUCGCAAGACUGAAACUUAAAGGAAUUGGCGGGGGAGCA
rnacentral:rRNA from 1 species